GGUUGAUCCUGCCGGAGAUCACUGCUAUUGGAAUCCGGCUAAGGCAUGCGAGUCGAGAGGGUUCGGCCCUCGGCGGACGGCUCAGUAACACGUGGAUAAUCUGCCCUUAGGUGGGGGAUAAUCUCGAGAAAUUGAGCAUAAUACCCCAUAGUUCUAGAUUGCUGGAAUGCAUUUAGGAUUAAAGCUCCGGCGCCUAAGGAUGAGUCUGCGGCCUAUCAGGUUGUAGUGAGUGUAACGGACUCACUAGCCGACGACGGGUACGGGUCCUGGAAGGGAGUGCCCGGAGAUGGACUCUGAGACACGAGUCCAGGCCCUACGGGGCGCAGCAGCUACGAAAACUUCGCAAUGCGGGAAACCGCGACGAGGGGAUUCCAAGUGCUAAUACUUUGUAUUAGCUGUU
rnacentral:rRNA from 1 species